GGGUGGUGGAAGGGUAGAGGGGGACAAAAGAGGAUGUGAAAACAGCAGUUAAGAGAAACUCAAAAUACAGAGAGAGAGAGAGAGAGAGAGAACAGAGGAUGCAGAUGAUGGACAAGGAAAGAAGAUAGAGAUGGAGAAAAGAGGAAAAGAGGAAAAGAGAGAGGGGAGUGUACCUGCCCUCAGCCACCUCAGACCUCCUCUUCCAUCUCCGCCCCCCUUCUCCUCCUCACCACCACCCCCAAUACCAGGAACGAUGUCUGCUUUUAUUGACUUUGUUAAACCAUUUUCAAUGCUACUUCCUAUGUGUUUACAAGACAGUAAAUCACGCUCUGUUCAGGGUGGGGGGUUCAGGGGUUGAAAUACAGGGGAAACAUCCAAGUCACUGGGAAGGAAGACCACUUUGACAGAGCCAAAGACAACUUCAUAGCUUUCUACCUCACUGCCAGCACCUCAUGCUGCACACACACCUUUACUCAUGGGGAUUCCUCAGGGCGUCUUUGUCUUCACUGCUUUCGUUUUAAUUCGGCAAAAGCAAAAUUAACGAGCUAACGCUUGAGGGAUGAUAAGAUUGUUGUUCAAGUCCUUAACAACAAGGAUAACUGAGAGGAAUAAUCACACAGAGCGGCUGAACUCAACAGUUGUUAAAGGCUUCAGUGGAGAGCUUAUUUAAUAUUCCUAGGAACGCCACUAAAAGAUGUUAUGCAAACACAUUUUGGUUAUGGUGAAAUUGGGUCUCCUUAAUCACUUCUACACACCAAGGUCAUUCCCAGACAGUCGUUUCAUCCAGUUAAAAAGCCAUUCAAGCUCUCAGCUCUGCUCACCACGAGUAAGUACAUCAAACGUCAUCCAGUGGCGAAAACUUUGACUUGAUUUUCCAAAUUUUCUCACAGUAACAAUUUUCUCAGGCGCUGGCGAUGUGACACCAGCACACACACACUCACUGACAUACGCAACACACUACGCAAAUCAUCAGUGUGUGAGUGAGCUGCUCCGAGUUACUGAAAGGUAGACAGACUGCCCCCCACCCUGAUUACCUCAUUUUAAUGGCACAGCACAGAACAAUUACUGUCUUUCCAUCUGUCCAAAUUCAUUUCUUAAAGGGCAAAAACAAUAAUAAAAAAGACCGGCUCUGAGGGGAAGUCUAAAAGAAUCAAUUUUCAGAUUAAACACAAUAACCAAGAAGCUUCUGAGGGGAAAUGUACAACCCUGAUUUCCAAAAAAGUUUGGAUGCUGUAUACAAAGUUAAAAGAAUGACAGAAUUUAUGAUUUGUAAAUUUGUCAAACACUGAAUCCAAAUGAGACGAUUACAGUGAUUUUUGAAAAAAUUUGUUCAAUUUAAAUGUGAUGCCAGCAACAUUUCAAAAAAGCUGCUGUGUUGUGUCAGCCUUCAUUUAACAACACUGUGUAAAGGUUUGGGAGCUGAAGCGACCAGCUUAGAGCUCUAAACCUGAAAUUUGUCCUGCUUUAGCUGCAGAUAGGAUGUCAGAAUCUUAACUGCUCAGGGUCUCCAGUUCAGCACCUGCUCUUCUACAGCAAAGCCAUGCUCUGCAAAACAUGAAUUCAACACUGUCUUGAGUAACUAUGCAAGGUCUUCUUUAUAAAGGGCAUUGUUGGUCGAAUAGUUCUUCAAAUCAUGUAUCUAUUGUAACGUAAAUGAGGCUCCCCCAGAUAUGUACUCAUGCACCCUCAUACCAUCACAGAUGAUGGCUUUUUGUGUGUACUGAAAACAAGCCAGGUGGUCCCAGGUGUCCAAAAAGAUUCUGAAUUGUCCGGUACAAAACUGUUUCUCACUUUACCUCAGUCCAUCUUAAACAGGUUCAGGCUGAGGGAGGGUUUCCCCUUAGCAUAGUACAAUUUUAACCUGUAUUUCUAAAAGCAGAGUCAAACCAUAUUUACAAACGAUUGUUCUAUCACUACAGAGUCACAUCUGUUUUUGUGUUUUUUACAUACAGGAUCACAGCCAUACAUUACUGUUUUUAGGCAUUGUGUCCAGAGAUUUCAUCACAUUCUCUGAAUCUCUUGAUUGUAUUUUGUACCAUAAUUGAUAAAAUCCUUAAAGUCUUUGUUACACUAAGAAAAAAUAGUCUGGUAUUGCUAAUCUAUUUUCUCAUCCAGUCUCUUAAAGAGUGGUGAACAUCUUCCCAUCUUUAUCUCUGAGAGACUCAGCCUCACUGAAAUGCAUUUGGGAUUGGAGUUGGAACGAUUUUCAUAUCAUCGAAAUCAGAUUCACCCACACCCUACCAAACUUUUCUGGAUUUGUUUGUUGGGUAAAAUGAAUCUAUAAUCUGCAAAAAAAGGACAUGAGAGUUAAGAUUGAGAUUAAGUCGUAGAGCAUCCUUUUUUCAAUCUUUGCGGCAUCAUAAAAAGUGAGCAGAUCCUGUCUUGAAAAGAUGGAUAACAAUUUGCUUUGAUCAAGCCGCCAUAAAAAGUUCUCCUUGCCUCUUCAGUUUGCGUUAUGUGCUGUUCUUAAGAGCUAGAAAAGUGGACCAUAUCUCUUCUGUGUAACUUGGCUUGUCUGCACUGUUGUCCUAGAAAGUCAAGGAGGAAUCUAUAAUCCUUCUUCAUUCCUACAAAAGGCCAGCCACCACAGUGCUUCUAGUUUCCUAUUUGUUUCUUCUUUUAUCCUGUUUUUUUAUGUUCGUAUUGCAUGUUUUUAGACCUUCCUGCCCAGGGACCACAGAUGUAAAUCAGCUUUAUGGCUAACACUGGCUCAGCGGCUUGUCUUGUGCAUGUGUCAAAUAAAUUAAUAAACUAACAGUCAGCAUAUUACUCUCAUAAAAUGCAGGCCUGCUUGUGGCACCUACUUUCCAAAAGUACUGUGGGUAAAUCAUCUUCUAGCCGCGGUCUGAAGCCACUGAGUUUUAGCACUAACACAAGUGUUCUGCUGAUCAACUGCUAGUGUUUGGGUCAAACCGUCCCAUAUUUCACGUUGCUUAAUUAGGUGAUAAAAUUUGCCGCAUUGGUGGUGGUUGACAGCCUUGCUUCUGUAUUGGUUCUACAACUAGUUUUUAACAAAGGGGUCAGGGUGACUGGGGCCUCCUGUGGGUAAAAACAUUAAAUAUAAAGUCACUGAUUUGAGAACAUGUCUACAUGGGCUGGCAGAGUCUACACAGCCCACAAGACAUAGGGGAGUUCAUAUAAACUGAUGACUGGGGAUUCAUUUCAAAUGACUGUGCCCUAUAUUAUAAGGUGUCUUGUGGGUUUUCUUGUGAAUGGCUCAGGGUCUAGAGCUAGUUUUUCAAAGGUUUAAUGUUUCAUACACAAUACACAGUUGUGUUCAUUGAAACUGGCACAAACAGAAAUUAAAUAUCACUCCCUUACUGGAUGUACAAAUGGCACAGUUUGUGGUUAGAGGUGGGUUCAACAGGGACUAACUUUAGGGGGGGUCAUUUAAACCCAUUGCCUUUAGCAAGUCAGUCCAACCUUGUAUGUACCGCAUUUUCCGGACUAUAAGUCACACUUUUUUUUCAUAGUUUGGCUGGGUUUGUGACUUAUAUAUAUCAAAAUAUAUGAUUUCACAUAUAGUCUGACGACAGUCACACAGAAGAGGAAGCGGCAAUUCUUUUACCUCCGGAGUUGGCGGAGUUGUUCAGAAGUGACACUGAUGAUGAAGAAUUCUAUAGAUUUUGUGAUCUGGGGUGAGAUCUAGAGUUUGGUAAACUUGUUUUGUUAUGUUUUUUUUAUACUAUAGUUACCUGAAUAACUGUUUAUAUGUUACAUUAACAUACCAGACACCUAUUGAAUUCAUUGUUUAUGCUUCAUGUAGCUGAAUAACCAUCAGUGCUAUGUUAGCAUACCGUACACCUAUUCAGCCUGUUCUCUAUUCUAUUGUUGUUAUAAUAACUUGCCUUUUAAGAUGAAAUGUCUGUUCUUGGUCUUGGUUUUUGCAAAAUGAAUUUCCACCAAAAAAUGCGAUGUAUACCAGUAUAUGUUUUUUAUUUUUCUUCAUUAUGCAUUUUUUGGCUGGUGCGACAUAUUCUCCACUACGACUUAUAGUCCUGAAAAUACAGUAAGUAUCAAUCUGCUGCUUUACUUGAUUAGCAUUUGCCUUUUAAUUCCCAUAUGAGAACAAAUUAUUGCACCUUUACACCUUUGCAUGUCAUAUAAAUGAAUAAAUCAGAUUUAAGUCUUUUUUAGAGGGGCUGAUGGACUGUUGAAGAAGAGUUCAUGUGAGCCAAAAGCUGCAGGAGAGCAAACAACAACCCCAACUUGGCAACCCACCAAUUAUUUACAUAGUAGAGUAAAAAUCUGACUUAACAUCAGUGAAGCCUUCAGUCACAACCUGAGGGGGAACUCAAUCCUCCAUGUUCUUGUGCAAAUGCACCAGCAACAGACUAACUUCCAGUGAUGCUGGAUAUGUGAUCCAGCGUAUUCGAGCCAAGUCAAGGUAAGUUAGUGGUGUGUGGUGAUGUGGUUACAGGCACAUUAUGUGGUUCAGGUUGUUGCAACAAAGCGGCGAUGCGUAAUUACAACAGGUGAUGGAGCGUUUCUCCUCAAAAAAGCCGCUGAGGUUUGGAUAGCGAGCAGCACUGCUACCAGAUGACACUGAGGGUCACAUAUAUUCUUUCCACCCAAACACACACACACAGACACACACACGCUUGCACGCACACAUGCACACUCACACUCUUAUUCUGUCUGUCUUCCUUUCUGGCUCUGUUUUCUCUCCUCCAUGGUGUCUACCUUUCCAUUGGCUCGGCCUUAUACAAGAGUGUGUAUUUUUAUGUCUCACAUUAGCAAAGGGGGAAUAAUACCUCUCACUGAAUGGUAGUCUGCUCUGGGGCAUUUUCAGACAUUCAGUCACUCCUCUUCUAAGAAUAACCGAUACAAAUCUUUGCCAAAAAGUUCCUCUCUCUGAUUCCUUUUUCACAGCUUUUCUCUUGAUUGCUGUUUUUGUACCUCAUUCGCUGAUACCAGGGCUUUGAAUUAGUUAGCAAACUGUGAUCCAAAUGAGAAAAGCAGCAUAGGGAGGCUGUGAGAGAAAAGGGUUGGGAUCUGGGGCGAAACUUGGACGUGUGUCAACUCCUCUCAAACAAAUUAAGAGGCCAGAAAAGCUGGUCACUAGAGAAUCUUUGGAGUGAGGCAGCAGACAGUUAGGUAUGUGAAAAACUAGCAUAAAAAAUGAUAGCUUUUGAUCAUGUUUCAUGGGAGCCUUUUAUGCACAGUCUGGAAAAUGUUAGCCAAACCUGUCGGACAGUUCACCUUCAACAAAUGUCAUUUACUUUUGCAGAGACGUUUCUUAAUUGCAAGUGGCUGUUAGUGGUGUGGAGAAGUUAAAGACAUGUAUCACCUUUACCACAGUGGAGUGAAUGCUCAUUGGCAGUAGAAGUGUGGGAAAAUAAUUUAAGUCAAAACAGUCAGCUUAGACUGAGCCGCUUCCUUUAAAGGGGAAAACUCAGCAUGUAAAGAAAUGCAACUAUCCCACUAGGUUAGAGUUCCAAUAGAGGGUUACUUCAGUGUAGGCAGGGCUGAUUAGGUAAGCACAGCAUGAAGACCACAAACAGGAUAUACAGCAUGUAACAGCUUAGUGAAUCUUUAUUGCUCACUAAGUGACACUCUUGCUUGUUUUUUAACUUUUGGGCUUUAUGCCUUUAUACUGUAACGGAUAUAACACUGAACAGAGCUGGAAACUGGGACAGAGAGUGGGGAAAGGGGCUGCAGAUUGGGAUAAAACCCAGACCGCCUGCUUGAAGACUAUUGCCUCUGCACACGUGGUGUGUGACUUAACCAUAUCACACCUUUUUUAUGCAUAUACAUUUCAUAAACAACAAGUUUUGUUCAAAUCAAGCAGCUGCCUCUGGUCUUGAGAAAUAAGUUCCUUAACCAUUUAGAGAAAAUAAGUUUUGAUUCUUUAAUGUCAAAAAGGAAAAAUUAUAUCUGACCUGGGCCUGCAAGAAACCACAGCUUUUGUUGUUGUUGUUGUUUUUCUAGGACACUAAUUGAGAGUAAAACACCUCUAUCAGCAGCAUGCACACAGAGGUUGUGUGAAGGGGUCUUGGAGCUUUUUUUUAGCAUCUCUCUCCCCACCAUUUACUCCCACCUCCCCUUGUCCUGGUGGUCGCUCUUGAGAGGUGCAUGGUCCACCAGCACACACCAGCUCUGCUACUGUUUCUACUGUCCGUCAAAUCACACUGACAGUAAUAAUGCUGUUUGUUAUGUCUGAGUCAGCUGAGUGGAACAGACAGUUUGCUUUGGGGCUCAAGGAUAACUAAAUGCUUGUGUGUGUUUGAUGUUUUAUUUACUUGGUGGAGCUUUACUGUAGGGAGAGUUGAGGUGCUAUUCGUUGCAAUGUUUAUGAUGCUUUCUGUCAGUUUAAUUUCCAUUGAUGCAUCAGAGAAGAAGUGAAAAAUACUGAUCUCAUAAUUUCUAAGGCAGGUUAAAGUUUAGGCAGCUCCCUCUCAAACACAGACCACCUUGUGCACCU